AGCGAACGCUGGCGGCAGGCUUAACACAUGCAAGUCGAGCGGGCCCUUCGGGGUCAGCGGCAGACGGGUGAGUAACACGUGGGAACGUACCCUUUGGUUCGGAAUAACGCUGGGAAACUAGCGCUAAUACCGGAUACGCCCUUUUGGGGAAAGGCUUGCUGCCGAAGGAUCGGCCCGCGUCUGAUUAGCUAGUUGGUGGGGUAAUGGCCUACCAAGGCGACGAUCAGUAGCUGGCCUGAGAGGAUGAUCAGCCACACUGGGACUGAGACACGGCCCAGACUCCUACGGGAGGCAGCAGUGGGGAAUAUUGGACAAUGGGCGCAAGCCUGAUCCAGCCAUGCCGCGUGAGUGAUGAAGGCCUUAGGGUUGUAAAGCUCUUUUGUCCGGGACGAUAAUGACGGUACCGGAAGAAUAAGCCCCGGCUAACUUCGUG
rnacentral:rRNA from 1 species